rnacentral:tRNA from 1 species
UUCCCUGUGGCUCAGUUGGUAGAGCAUGGUGUUUGCAACGCCAGCAUGGUGUGUGCAACGCCAGGGUUGUGGGUUCGAUUCUCACGGGGGGAC